rnacentral:tRNA from 1 species
GCCCUGGUAGUGUAGCUCGGCCUAGCAUGAAGCCCUGUCGAGGCUUCGACCCGGGUUCAAAGAUGGUUGAUGAGGUUUAUAUCAUGAUCACUGAAAGUCCCGGCCAGGGCG